rnacentral:sRNA from 1 species
AAAGACACAGCAGGCUGCAACCCAACUGGAGACUACUGCAGGCUGCCAUGUCUCUGAUCCCCACUCUUGGUGCCAGCCCAGGGCCAAAGCUAAUGGGUGAGGAUGGAAAUACAAGCACCUUCAACAUCUCCUGCACCAAGUUCUUCCUGGUGGGUUUCCCUGGACUUCGAGAGUGGUGGCCCCUUCUGGUCCUGCCUCUUGUCUUCCUCUUUGUGACCAUCAUCUCUGCCAAUGCCCUGGUCAUCCACACAGUGGUUGCCCGGCAAAAUCUGCAUCAGCCUACGUGUAUGCUCAUCACUGUGCUCCUGGCUGUCAAUAUUCGUGCUGCCACAGCCGUGAUGCCUAAAAUGCUGGAGGGCUUUGUAUAUUAUGCUAACCCCAUAUCGCUGCAUGGCCGCCUGGCCUAGGUGUUCUUUAUCUACUUCACCCUCCUCCUGGACUACAACUUCCUCUGGCCAUGGCCCUGGACUGCUACGUGGCCAUCUGCCACCCACUCUGCUAUUCUGACCUGAUGACCUCCCAGCUGCUGGGACUGCUGGCCAUUCUUGCCUUGACACAGAGCCUGGGAGUGGCAGUGCCCUUGGUAGUGCUAACUGCAAAAGCCCGAUUCUGCCGGACAGUAGUGAUUCGACACUUCACCUGUGAGUGCAUUGCACUGCUGAGCAUAGCUUGUGGAGACCUGACCUUCAACAACUGGCUGGGGCUGGCUAUGUGGUUGGUCACUGUAACCUCUGAUAUGGCCCUGCUGGGGACCUCCUACAGCCACAUCAUCUAUGCUGCCUUCCGGAUCUCUUCUUGGGGAGCCCAAGCCAAGGCCUUACACAUGUGUGGCUCCCACCUACUGGUCAUCCUCUCCAUCUACGUCUCUGGUCUUUCCACUUCCAUCACCUUCUGAGUAGCCAAGACUGUGUCCCAGAAUGUCCAGAAUCUACUCAGUGCCAUAUACUUGCUGCUUCCAGGAGCCUUGAAUCCUGUCAUUUAUGGGGUGAGGACUAGGGAGAUCCAGCAACAUGUAGAAAAGAUGCUCUGUGAAAAGGAAACAGCCCAGAAGGCUGGGGAGAAGCCAAAGAGGCUGCAGAACAUGAGACUGGAAACCGCCAGGGUGAGGGACUUUACUAACUUCGGAAGUUGGGGCUAUGAUCUCUGAGAAGAGAUAAGCAGGCAGUACUCAGGGACAGGCUCAAAUUUCCUCAGCAGAUUAUGGGCUCAACAGCAGGUUCCCUGUUGGUCAACUGUUGCUUGUUAAAUUCUUAGAAUGCUCUUUGUUUUCACCCCC